GACGAACGCUGGCGGCGUGCCUAAUACAUGCAAGUAGAACGCUGAAGAGAGGAGCUUACUCUUCUUGGAUGAGUUGCGAACGGGUGAGUAACGCGUAGGUAACCUGCCUUGUAGCGGGGGAUAACCAUUGGAAACGAUAGCUAAUACCGCAUAACAAUGGAUGACACAUGUCAUUUAUUUGAAAGGGGCAAUUGCUCCACUACAAGAUGGACCUGCGUUGUAUUAGCUAGUAGGUGAGGUAAUGGCUCACCUAGGCGACGAUACAUAGCCGACCUGAGAGGGUGAUCGGCCACACUGGGACUGAGACACGGCCCAGACGCCUACGGGAGGCAGCAGUAGGGAAUCUUCGGCAAUGGGGGCAACCCUGACCGAGCAACGCCGCGUGAGUGAAGAAGGUUUUCGGAUCGUAAAGCUCUGUUGUAAGUCAAGAACGGGUGUGAGAGUGGAAAGUUCACACUGUGACGGUAGCUUACCAGAAAGGGACGGCUAACUACGUG
rnacentral:rRNA from 1 species